rfam:Cavia porcellus supercont2_31 genomic scaffold, whole genome shotgun sequence.
GGGGAUUUAGCUCAGCGGCAUAAGCGCCUGCCUUGCAAGCAGGCAGUCGUGAGCUCGAUCCCUG